rnacentral:rRNA from 1 species
UACGUAGGGUGCAAGCGUUGUCCGGAAUUAUUGGGCGUAAAGGGCGCGUAGGCGGCAAUUCAAGUCAUCUGUGAAAUCUCCGGGCUUAACUCGGAACGGUCAGAUGAUACUGCUUUGCUAGAGUGCGGAAGGCGCAAUCGGAAUUCUCGGUGUAGCGGUGAAAUGCGUAGAUAUCGAGAGGAACACCAGAGGUGAAGACGGGUUGCUGGGCCGACACUGACGCUGAGGCGCGAAAGCCAGGGGAGCAAACGGG